rnacentral:rRNA from 1 species
UACGUAGGGUGCGAGCGUUAAUCGGAAUUACUGGGCGUAAAGAGCGCGCAGGCGGUCGUUCAAGUCGCGUGUGAAAGCCCCCGGCUCAACUGGGGAGGGUCAUUCGAUGCUGAUCGACUGGAAGGCAGGAGAGGGAAGCGGAAUUCCCGGUGUAGUGGUGAAAUGCGUAGAUAUCGGGAGGAACACCAGUGGCGAAGGCGGCUUCCUGGCCUGUUCUUGACGCUGAGGCGCGAAAGCUAGGGGAGCAAACGGG